UACGGGGGGAGCAAGCGUUGUUCGGAUUUACUGGGCGUAAAGGGCGCGUAGGCGGCCACCGCAAGUCAAUUGUGAAAUCUCCGGGCUCAACCCGGAACGGUCAACUGAUACUGCGGGGCUAGAGUGCAGAAGGGGCAACUGGAAUUCUCGGUGUAGCGGUGAAAUGCGUAGAUAUCGAGAGGAACACCUGCGGCGAAGGCGGGUUGCUGGGCUGACACUGACGCUGACAGCGCGAAAGCUAGGGAGCGAAGC
rnacentral:rRNA from 1 species